CCUCUUCCUCCUCAGAGGAGGGGUACUGACAUAGCCUCAUCUUUUCUGCAGAAACCCCAUGACCCGGCCACUGUGGAUGAAGUCCUGCGCCUGCUGGACGAAGAUGACACAGGGACAGUGGAAUUCAAGGAAUUCUUGGUCUUGGUGUUCAAAGUCGCCCAGGCCUGUUUCGAGACACUGAGUGAGGGUCCUGAGGGAGCGUGUGGAUCUCAGGAGUCUGGCCGUGUUGCCCCUGCAGCCACCCAGGAACCAGGGGCAGGACAGAGAGGCAGCACUGCAGUGGGAAGGCCUGGGAACAGACAAGGCCCGGCAGGAAGCAGCGACACACAGAAUGAGCAGGCUUCUGGGGGGCCGGGAGGGCCUGAGCCUCAGACCCGGGGUCAGGACAUCAGCUCUGCUCAGGUCAGUCACCAGGACAGGCAGUCUGCGUCCCAGAGACAGGAGGGAGUGAGCCAGUCUACACAAGCAAGGGGCCACGUGGAGCAGGCCCAGAGAACACAAGAAGACAAGAGUCCUCAGACCAGAGAGAGGGGGACAGAGAGACAGCCACAGGCCAGGGACCAGGACAGAGCCCACCAGACAAGUGAGGCCAUCCCUGGAACCAUAACUCAGACUCAGACAAGUGCCAGUCAGGCAGUGGAGCAGGACAGGAGCCAGCAGUCGGGAAGCGCCAGCACCCAGCCACAGGAGUCCACCAGAGGGACUGAGGCCCACAGUCAAGAUGGGAGGCAGACAAGCCAGGUGGUGACAGGAGGACACAUUCAGACACAGACAAGGUCACAAACCCAGACUCACAGUCAUACCACGGAGCAGGACAGGAGCCAGCAGACAGGAAGCGCCAGAACCCAACCACGGGAGUCCACCAGAGGGACUGAGGCCCACAGUCAAGAUGGGAGGCAGACAAGCCAGGUGGUGACAGGAGGACACAUUCAGACACAGACAAGGUCACACACCCAGACAGUGGAACAAAAUAGGAGCCAUCAGACAGGAAGCGCCAGCACCCAGCCACGGGAGUCCACCAGAGGGACUGAGACCCACAGUCAAGAUGGGAGGCAGACAAGCCAGGUGGUGACAGGAGGACACAUUCAGGCAGAGACAAGGUCACACACCCAGACGGUGGAACAAAAUAGCCAGCAGACUGGAAGCGCCAGCACCCAGCCACAGGAGUCCACCUGUGGCCAGGCCAGAGGAACUGAGGCCCACAGUCAAGACAGGAACCAGACAAGCCAAGUGAUGACAGGAGGACACAUUCAGGCACAGACAAGGUCACAAACCCAGACUCACACUCAUAGCACGGAGCAGGACAGGAGCCAGCAGUCAGGAAGCACCAGCACGCAGCCACGGGAGUCCACCAGAGGGACUGAGGCCCACAGUCAAGAUGGGAGGCAGACAAGCCAGGUGGUGACAGGAGGACACAUUCAGGCACAGACAAGGUCACAAACCCAGACUCACACUCAUACCACGGAGCAGGACAGGAGCCAGCAGACAGGAAGUGCCAGCACCCAGCCACGGGAGUCCACCAGAGGGAUGGAGACCCACAGUCAGACAAGCCAGGUGGUGACAGGAGGACACAUUCAGGCAGAGACAAGGUCACACACCCAGACUCACACUCAUACCACGGAGCAGGACAGGAGCCAGCAGACAGGAAGUGCCAGCACCCAGCCACGGGAGUCCACCUGUGGCCAGGCCAGAGGGACUGAGACUCACAGCCAAGACAGGUAUCAGACAAGGCAGGUUGUGACAGGAGGACACAUUCAGACACAGCCAGGUUCACAAACCCAGACCUACACUCAGCCCAGGGAGCUUGACAGGAGCCAGCAGAGAGGAAACACUAGCAUCCAGUCACAGGAGUCCAUCAGAGGCUCUGAGGUCCACAGUCAAGACGCCUAUCAGUCGAGACAGGCUGUGACAGGAGGACACAUUCAGACACAGGGAGGUGCCCCCCAGGCCGUGGGACAGGACAGCGGCCCGAUUACAAGCCACCCCGGGGCAGGAGAACAGGGCCAGCCCCAGAGGCAGCCAGGCAGUAGUCAAAGACAGACACAGGUGAGCAACUGCGAGGCAGGAGAGACAGUGCUGGGAGGGCAGGCCCAGACUGGGGCGAGCACUGUGACGGGCAGGCAGGACAGAAGCAGUACUCAGCCAGCACGCAGUGCGACAGGAGCCCAGGGAGAAAGAGAGCCCACCGUGGUUCAUCAGGAGUGGGUUGAUGACCACACGAGGGAGACAGUGAUCCGAAGGCAGGACGAGGGCAGCCUGCACGCUAGUGUCCCUUCAGCACAAGGCCGGGAGGCGGCCCAGCCAGAAGGGAAGCGAGGCCUCACAGCCAGGGGACUGUAUUCCUACUUCAAAAGCAGCAAGCCAUGA
rnacentral:lncRNA from 1 species